rnacentral:rRNA from 1 species
CCCUUAGAUGUUCUGGGCAGCACGCGCGCUACAAUGGUCUUCGCAAACGGAUGCAUUCUCGAAGGAGAAUGCCAAUCUUGGAAUCUAUGCCUUGGUCGGGACAGUUGCUUGCAAUUUUUCGACUCGAACCAGGAAUUCCUUGUAAUCGUGAUUCAUCACAUCACGAUGAAUACGUCCCUGCCCUUUGUACACACCGUCCGUCGCUCCUACCGAUCGAAGAGUUAGGUGAAUUGUUUUGAUCGAUAAGAUUUGACUAUGGUCAACUCUCGUUGUGAAAUUCUGUGAAUCUGGCUGUUUAGAGGAAGGAAAAGUCGUAACA